CUGGAGAUAAGAAAGAUAAAAUAAAAAAAACUUACCUUGGCUUGAAAUGUUUGGUGGUGGUGGGGUGUGUGUCCAAAUUCAUUCCCAGGAUGAUGUUAAUCAUUGUAAACUUCCUAAGCUUUACUGGAAUAUGAGUGGAAAACUACUACACGAGGCGAUGCUCACGAUCCUGUUUCCUUGUGCUCAUGGCAGAGCUGGUUUCACAACAGGAGUCACGCAAGGCUGAGGACAUGGACAGAGGGCAAUGUUUCCUUGCUCAGCUGUCCAUGACCAAGCUGGAACUAACACAGUGCGAGUGAGUGUGACUGAUGGCCAGGCACUUGGAUUUACGUGUAUGGAGACAUGUCCAGACACUCAACCAGCCUUUGUGCCAUGUCAUGGAGCUUAUGCAGAGCCUUUAGCCUGAGCUGGAAAGUGCAGGCUCUGAGCAGCUUCUGCAAGGAGUGUGGAGUAUUGGCUGCUUCAGCAGAACAAAUACUUGAAAAUAUAUGAAAGAAAUCCUGCAGGUGUACCUUGGGCACAUAAUGGGAGCAGGAAAAAAGCUACUCCUAAGAUUUUGUGGAACAUCUGUGGAGACAGCAUCAUUUAAAGCCAAAGGUAAAACAGACUGGUUGUCUCUCCAGUAUAGAGUCCUGUAAUAAAAAAAAAAAACAAAAAGGGGGGGGGAAAUGUUUCAGAAUUUUGCUGUCUGGGUGUGAAGUUUUCUGUAUGUUAAGCUUUGCUUACAGUGACAUGAAUACCAUUAAUGUAGUUACAAAAUUAGCUUCUUUCAAAUCAUUAAAAUAUUUUUCCAAAAGACAGUCUGCUACUCUACAAAAGUCCACAGAGCAAAAACCCAAAACAUCCCUUUCAGAGCUCUUCUUUGUACAACAGAUAUCAUUAUAUGCCAUUCUGCCCCAUGGAAAAAGCUAUAGUUUCAAUUUUAAUUUUACAGGAGAGCAACAGACACAUGGUUGCUUUAGCAAGAGAAAGUUGGUUUAGGACAAACUGGGUCAAGCUGUCUUUAUCAAUUGGUUUAAGAACAAAACAAUUUUUAAAGCUCAUUCUUCCAUUGCAGCAUCCAUUUUUAACAUAUCUUCACAGCAGGUGACAUGAUCUAUAAAUAUAGGCGAAAGUGAUAAUAAAAAUGUUGAGACAUAAAUCAGAAAUGGAAAAUUUUGUAAUAGUUUAAUAGAUUCAACGAAAUUUAAGCAAAAACUUAUUAAAAGAUGUUCAACUUACCUAGCAGCUCCAAUACGAAUUAAAAAAGGCUUAUUAAAUGGUCUAAUUUAUAGGGCAUGUAACUUGAGAUUCAUCUUCUUACUUACAGGAAAUACAAAGAACAUGUCAUCUGAUAUGAAUUUGCAUAUGAUUUUCUUCAAGAGGCAAACAUACUUAAAAUGUGAGGAAAAUACUUGAAGACCAAGGCAUAAAGGAGACAGCUACAGAAGCACAUACUUAAAUAUCUUACAGAAUACUCCAGGGGAAGCUUAUAGAUCGUAAAUUACAGUUUUCUCCAACAGAACAAUGACCUUUCAGUGAAGGAAAAAGCUGCUCUACACCAGUCUUGUGAGUACAGAGGCCUCAAGAUGAAGAACAUCACUGGUGCCUUGCCAAGCAUUUUAGAGUUAUUGACAGCUGAGAGUUGGUUCUAUUUAAUGGGGACUUUCAGGAAAGCUGUUUGAGGCUGUGCUCCAGUUCAGACAAGUAAGAUGUGGUUGCAUCAUCCUUGUAGUGUCAGGCCAGCAUCCUGAUGUUGCAGCAAGGCUAACAGCCAAGACAGUUGAGGAAUAAAGUGCUUUGAGACUAGAGGAGGAACGUGAGCAGUAUCCAUAUUGGUCUGAGGUGCUACUGGAUAACCUCCACAGGCACUGUGCACUGUGUCCUGCACGUUCAUACUUCAACAACAGAUGCAGAGUCCUUUGUCCUCGGUGGUGUGCCCACAGAUGCCUGACUAGUUCCUGCAGCAUUGUUUAUUGAGUGCCCUAGAAAAGGCACCAGUCCUGUGAAAAAUAAAUAAGCAGUACUCAGUUGUACAUAUCUUGACAGAAGAGGGCUGUUUUAAAUUUGCAUGCGUAAUCUUUGUUUAAAGUUUCUUGUUAAAUUUCAAGUUUCUUAGCUUUUGAGUGCUUGAUGUAAUGCUUUUAAUAACCUUCUGGUAGACCUUUUCUAAUUUUUUUUUUUUUGAAAAAACCCCACCAAAGCCAAAGAGAGAACAUGAGACAAGCCAUUACCUGGGUUCUAAAUGAGCAAGGUCACUGGCAGAACCUCGGCCUUUGCAUCCGUGGUGAGAACAGCUUUAGCAUUUCAACUGCACCUGGAAGAAACCACAGAUUAGGUAAAUGUGAGAAGAAGAUGAGGUUUGGCCUGCAUUAGUGGGUUUCCCAUGCUGACUCAUGGCCUGGGAAACCUGGAGGGAGGCAGAAUUUUUCUUGUGAUAGACUCCUGAGAAAAACUGUAGUUUUGAUAAAUUAUAAACUCUCCUUCCCUGGAUUUUCAUCAGCAUAUUAAUAACAUGGAGCAAGCUAAAAUAGAUACUUAAAUAUACCUGUAUUUCUGCUAUGCUUGUUUAUGAUUUCCUAAUAGAAUAUUUUAUACAACUACCAUAACUUGUAAACUAUUUUCUGAUCUUGCUCUGAGCCACAUAUCACAGAAGCCCAGGAAGAUUCAAGGACACAGAUCUGAUAAAGAACAAAAAAUUUUUGAGUAGAGAAGCAACUUUUCUUCUCUGUUCCCACAUCUAUCUUAAAGGGUUUUAUGAUUUCAGUGCUAGUGAAGCAAAGGAAGGAUAUUCCUUGAGUAGGUUGUGUUGCACAAUGUAGGCAGGUUACGUGCAACACAUGCUAAGGACAAACGUUGUCCUUAGCAAACAUUGGUCAAUGCUGCUUUCUUAGCUGGUUCAAGAAAUACAGACGCUGGAGUUGAAUUUCAGUUGAUGAAAGUGGCUGUGUGUUCCUUCCAGUAAAUCUGUUUGUUAGCCUUUCCUUUGUACAUUUAGCUUCCUAAAAGUUAGUUCUUUUCCUCCGUAGUGUUAGUCACACCUCAGAUAACUUAAAAAAUUCUUUCCUUAUUUUCUGUUUGUAUUUACAUGCCCCCAACCCCAUCCAUAUUUUCUGUUUACUUUAAUAUUUGUGCUGUUCUGCUGUUGUUUCCACCCUGUCUUGUCCUGUGUUUUCUGCAUUUCAUUUUCUUUUCCAAAUCAGCACCAGACUGCCCCCAGCAGCUCCCUUCUGUCUGGAAAUAUCAGGAAGAGCACAGAGCAUGUAAGACCUGGUGUCUCCCCUUCUCAGAGGACAGCUGAGGCUAAUUUUGCUAAGCAUUAAAAACAGGAAGCAAAUAAUUCAGCAAGAUAUGGACACCUGGGAUGGCAAACUUCAACAUGGGGGUUUUGUUUUUGUUGUUUUUAAAAUUGUAAGCAGCAUUUUAGAGCAGAAAGUCCUCAUUUUACCUGGAGACGCUGUGAUCAGUGCACAUAAAUGCUGCUGUCAUCUUGCUCCAUUGACUUAAGUUAUGUAUGAAAGAUCCAAGUGGUCACUAGAUGUCUCUGAUACGUCACUCAGUGCAGCUCAGCUGAAAAACACAGAAAGAAAUCAAGUUUCGUCUUUAUAGCAAAUAGAAAGCAAGACAGUAUCUCAUCUCUUCAAUAGUUGUUGAUGGUAAAAUAGAAUUCUACUGGGAAAGAAACCAAAACCUCAUGGUUAUGAACCAGAUGAAACUAUUAUUCCAUAUAUUUUGUUGUUGUCCUCCUUUAUCUGCAGAAGGAUAAAUUCACUCAAGUCUUUACUACCAUAAUUACCACUGCCACAGGCUCCUCAAGGGUUAAAGUUCCCUUGCCUUCCAGGACUGUUCACCUCCUGAGCAAAAGGGCAGAGAUGACUGAAAGUUUCAUUCCAGGUUUCACCUGGCAUCACACCUGGAUUAUCACCCUUGAGCCAAAUUCUGCCAAACCUGUGUUUCCUAACAGGCACUUCAAAUAAAAUCCAAGUCCCCUUAUCAUUUUUUAAGGUGCUACUAUAAUUUCCAGGUAUCCUGUACCUAUUGUGCUUUAAAAUCAGGUAUGUUUGUAUAACUGAAGGUUAAUAUGAUUUUAUAACAAUGUGUUUCAACUUCUGGUAAUCACUUAUCACUUGCAAUCAGAUACUCUGAGAUCCAGACAAAUAUGUCUCUUGUACUAUUACACAAUACUCCCAAGAACAUUGUUUUCCUCUGGUUCAUAGGCAUGGUAAUAAGGCCAUUAGUCUUUCUGCCACUUCUCAGAGUGGUUUCAAAACCAGCUAACAAAUUUCCUGAUGGCAAAUACUUCUUCUCCUACUGGCACUUAUUGUUCUUCUGAAGAAAAGCUGCAAAUAAAUGGAAAACACAGAUGAAACUUUACCCUUUCUUGUGAUUGUGGCACUACCAGGAUAUUGCAGCAGCAAGCACUGGUGUUUUUCCACCACAUAAGUUCUUUUUUUUCUGGAAAAGAACAGAACAGCAGCGCAAUUAUUCUUUAAACUUGGCCUAAAAAAAACUGCAAGAGGCACAGCCCACAAUUUAUACAAGAUAAAGUAGCUCUGCCAGCCUGUGUCACAAUCCUGUCAGUUAUGUUCACAUAAGGCUGAAUAUGAACUCAAUUUUCUCAAGAACCAUGGGGCUUGCUUGUUUUUGAGGGUUUUUUUAAUCAAAUUUCUAAAAAAAUCAGAAAGUCACAGAAAAAUUCUCAUUUGCUGUAAUUGAAGGUUAAUUUCUUCACAUAUGGUAGGGAUUGAUGGGAGCUGGUGUGAGCUUUUUAAGUGCUCAAAAUUGCUAAUAGUAUUCCUAAGCUAAAACAACUAAAUAAAUUAUACCAUUAUAAAAGAAGAUAUAACUCUGGACCAGAGAGAAUUCUCUCUGAAAUAAAUAUCCAUAAUUUUUAUGGCCAUGGCCUCACGGUUAAAUAUACUGUAAUAACAAUUGUAUUCAAUUCAUCUUAUGUGAGACACAAUCCAUUUGCUUCAAAAGGGGCUGAAUUUUUGCCAUCCUUUUACUUAUACUAAGAUAUUAAUUCUUAAAAUUGGCCUCUAUAGCCAAUGAGUAACUUAUUUUCUGAUUUAAACAUCUUACUUUUACUUUGCAUUUGUGUAGCAAAUUAUUAUAAACUAAGAAAAAAAGACUAACCUGGAUUUUUCCUGGUCUGGUCAUUAUAAAUCAGGGAUUAUUGUUGCUCUUUGCACUUCUAAAAAAGAUUUUAUCAAAAUUAUAUAUACUACCAUAAAAGAACACAGAAACAAUUUAUUCUGUUUCUUCUUGUGCCCAACCUCUCCAUCCAUUAAAAAAAAUCUAUUAAUAUGUAAAUGGAAGAUUCAGAUCUUUCACAAAAAAUAGACCAAAAUUCUGGUGUUUUAAACAGCAUUUUAGGGUAUAAAUUGAUAGGGUUAUACACAAACACAAAAAAAUCUAUCUAAAAGAAAAAAAUAACCAUUUCUGGGUAAUUUUCCUCUGUGGAACUGCAAAGAAUAAGCAACAUUCUACUGAGUAUCUACCUACACGAGGAUUUUAGUUGCCAUGUAUGAAACCCACGAGAUAUAAACACAUUCCAGGCUUGUCUGUAGACUAUUGCUUUUAUUAGCGAAUUUUAUUUCUUCCACAUGUGGUGGUUGACACUGGAAUUUUUUUUUUUCUCUGAAGUUCAUGAAAGUUAGGAGAUAAAAGUCCAUGCAAAAGAACGUGGACAUCAUUUUUUAUGAAGAAGGCAGGGAACUGGCAGAAGUCCCUUUGAUAUCUUCAGUUUUAUGUAUGAGGUGUAGUCAAGACUUUGGGCACAGAACAAGGAAGUGCUUCAGAGUGGUAGAAGGGGAAGGCCAGAGUGCAGCAGAAGAGUUGAGAACAAUGUUAUAUGGGGAUAUUUUACAAAAAUAACUGAGCUGUUUCAUUUAAUUACCCGAAAUGCUACAGAUCAAGUGUGAACCAUAAAGGGGGAACUGCUGCCUAGCAGUUCAUAAAGAAAAACACCACAUCUGAGGUGUUUUUAUUUUUUAGCAGCAUAUAUGUUCUUGAUUUGUUUUUUUUUCCUUUUCUCAGUACUAAUGGCUAAAAUGGAAAGAAAUUGGAAUCUCAGAGCUAGCCUAGAUGCUUUUCUUAUUGAUGUUAUAAAUACUAGCUUUUGACUGAAGAAAAAAAUAAAUCUUUUUUUUCUUACCUGGAUAAAAAACCCCCAAGUGUUUAGAAGUCUAAAUCUGUUCAGAUAUAGAUGAUAUAUUGUGUUAGGCCAUUUUUAAGAUUUUACACAUUAAGGAUUUUAACAAGAGAUUUCUCUAGUCAGCUUGAAAACACCAAUGUGGUAGAAAUAAAGUACUCAUUAAGCAAAGGAAUAGAAUACUCCACAACUAGUUGGAGAUCUAUGUAAAUGAAUAUGCUUAUUUGGUUCUGAUAGUAAAAGAUCAUGUUGGUAGUGUUCUUUUUUCCUUGGGUGGGGGUCCCUUUCUCUAACAUGAUGCCUUUUUGUGACAGGUAAUCACCUUGCUUUAACAAAGAAUCUGCAUGAGUAAAAGACUCAAAAAUUGCUAGCAACAUUUACUUACUUAAAUACUAAUAAAUAAAAAUUAAGUGGUAGUUUUAAGUAGACUUUCUGCUCUUUCCAGAAGCUUGAGUGCAGCUGGUCAGAGCUAAGCCCAGGAAAAUUAAAAGGUAUUAAUUUAGCCUUCCUUUUUCUCAGUGUACCCUGAGAGUCAGAAUUUUCAUCAUGGCAUAAUCUAUUUCCUUCCCAUUUGAAACUUUUGGCUAAAAUGGUAUCAUGCUCAUAAGUCUCAAAGCAAGCUACUUUGUAAGGCAUGUUCACACUUUGAAAUCUAUCUAACAUGGUACUGGGUGUACUUUUUCAGCUUCCUUGGGUCUUCCUGCACAGAGGCCAAAUGUGGAGAAGGAGCAGGAUAUGAAGUGUUUAUAAAUGUAUUUUUAACUCUACUCCCCUCAGGUAGUAUGAAAAUGAUAAUGGGUUGCCCCAUGACCCCUCAUGGCAAGGUAUGUAUGUAAGAAUUUGCUACUUGUGGUACUCUACUGAGCUGCCCCUGCUCACCAGCUACCCAAGCUGAGCAAGCAGUGAAAACAUUUUGUAAAAGAUAAAUAUUUUGUAAAAGAUAGUUUUCUGAGGGAAUGUGCUGCUUUAGCAACAAAAUGCAAUCUUUAGCAUUUUAUACACAUAUCUUUGUCUACUUGGAUCUAAUGCAAUAUUUAGCUUAGUGUUUUAUAGAGAGUAGCUUCUAAACUAAGAUAAUUAAUUGUAACUGGUACUGUUAACAUUUUCAUAAAGCAUAAAUUAAAUGUGGAUGCUGAAUGAGCCAGUGUGUGCUUAAAUAUGAUGCAAGCUCUAUAAUUGAAAGUGAGGUACAAAAAAACCUGAGACCUUAAUUGCUCCAGUGAAGUCAACUCUGGGCAUCUCUUUUAAGAGAAACUAUUAAGUACUUGGAAACUCUUCCACUAUGAAGCUAUGGGCAAUUUUAACUUCAGAUUUCUCCAAUAUCCCAGGUCAGACCUUGCAAUUUUCCUCUAAUCUUCACAAAGGCAAAGAGACAAUCUAAUGAA